ensembl:lncRNA
GACUGAACUUUGAACAGUUUUUUAUAAGAUGAACUGGUGUUACACAGCGUGUGUCAUUGCUCUGUUGAAAUGAAAGCUGAUGAUGGACUUACAAAAUGUGAUAAUUCUUCUACUGUUGUCUUGCACCACUGUGUUUACAGUACUGCAUGGACAGAAAGUUGUCACUGAUCUUAAGGUUACUGGGUACCAGGGUCAUGAUGUCACACUGUUGUGCCAAUAUAUCAAUGGAAACACAGAAGACAAAAUACUACAAAUGCAGUGAACGUGGCAGAAUGAGUCCAGUUAAUAUGAAAUCAUGGUCUUUAGCACAGACCAUGGCCUUUCUCUGCAUGACACAUUCCUGAAAGACAGAGUCAGCUUCAGAAAGAGCUCACCGCCGAUCUAUGAGGCCUCCAUCAUCAUCAAAGAUGUGAAGAUGAGUGAUCAGGGAGUUUACAGCUGUGCCUACACAACCUUCCCUAGCGGCAGUCAUACAGGACAAACCACUCUUACAGUGUUAGAAGACAGUCCUCCUGUUCUGUCCACCGCUGAGGCUGUAAGGAUUGUGACUGCUGUAAUGCUCAUCACUAUGAUACUAACUGUUGUGGGGUAUUUAUUCCUGCGCAACAGACGAAGAGCAGGCAGCAAUUUCACUUAUUAUACAACUCAGAGCCCCAGUGACCUGCAGGAUGUCACCUAUUCUGAUGUCACAAUACUGAAACCAGGCAAAGCUAACAGAAGCACCUCGUCAUCGGGGGACAUUGAAUACUCUGCGGUUUCCUUCAGUGGUCGGUCAGGAUCAGCGCCCCUGCGAGCCUCAGACUGCUUUGGGUUUCCACACAGCAGAGCAUGAAACUCUGUAUGCACAGGUGAAAAAAGACUAAUUUUAAGUACAAAUGUCACAUCUACUAAAGGUUUCUAGGUGUUUGAACAGUAGAGACAAUAAAGGGCUGAUCACAACAAGGACGACA